UACUUAUAGAACUUCCCAAAUUAAAUUCCUUAUUGUUUGAACUAGAGUGAUGAUAGAAGGUGGAGUGAGUGGGCGUGUGUGAUCUUUUUCCUUUUGUUAUGAUGGAAUUACCCAAGAAUGCUGAAAGAGAGACUGUUGUCCCAGUGAUCAGCGUGGACGGGGCGACCUCCGGGGGUGAGUGUAGCGACGCCGGUGCCAGCACCCCACGCACAGCGUAGAGUUCAACCCCUUCGCUCGGUGUCCCCAGGGGUAGGGCUGCCCCUGGCUGCCCCUCCUCUAUCUCUCCUUCCGCGCCUCCAUCACGGCUGUUACCUCAGCCGCCAUGAACUCCCCCGCCCCCCACAAGCCAGGUAAACCAUGGCCCAACCUUUUAUCUGUACUGCCAGUUCGGCACGGCCUCCCCCCGUAGUCCGUGUGCCUCUGGAUGGGAUGUUGAGUCCGCAUUCCCCGAACCCGCUUUUGUGAUUAG